CAAAUUUCUCCCAUUUCCAUUUUGUACUUUAGCUACUGAGAGGAAUCCAUUCAAAGACUGGUACUCAAGACGGUUUGAGGACUUCAGAUGAACUAGGCACUGUGCCAACUCCCUGCCUUGACCAUGUUUGAUCUUUGAAACCAGUUUACAAGUAAAAAGGCUGAGGCAGUAAUGUAUACAAUAUAAUUGGCCUGAGGGUAGGCAGAUGGCUCUGCAGCUAAGGGCACCGGAGGACCGGAGUUCUGACCUCAGAAGUCAGGCAUGGCUACACAUACCUGAAAGCCCAGAACUGAGAGGAGCCUAACUAGAAUCUCUGAGGCUUGCUGGCUGCCAGAAUAGCAAUGAAACAAAACAAAACAAACAAAACAAACUAGGGUCAGUAAAAGAACCUAUGUCAAAUGAACAAAAUAUAGUGAGGUAAAGAUAGCAGAUACCCAGCAUCCUUCUCUGGCCUCUGCUCCCGCCAGUGCGCAGAGGCCCCACACCUACAUACGACUCAUACACAUAGACACAAAGAUGCAUGCCCCCCACACACACCUACAUAUGCCUCAUACACAUAGACACAGACACAUGCCCCCCACACACACCUACAUACGCCUCAUACACAUAGACACAAAGACACAUGUCCCACACACACCUACAUACGCCUCAUACACAUAGACACAAAGACACAUGCCCCCCCACACACACCUACAUACCCCUCAUACACAUAGACACAAAGACACAUGCCCCCCCACACACAUACAGAGGCCCCCCCACACACACCUACAUAUGCCUCAUACACAUAGACACAAAGACACAUGCCCCCCCACACACAUACAGAGGCCCCCCCACACACACCUACAUAUGCCUCAUACACAUAGACACAAAGAUGCAUGCCCCCCACACACACCUACAUAUGCCUCAUACACAUAGACACAGACACAUGCCCCCCACACACACCUACAUACGCCUCAUACACAUAGACACAAAGACACAUGUCCCACACACACCUACAUACGCCUCAUACACAUAGACACAAAGACACAUGCCCCCCCACACACACCUACAUACGCCUCAUACACAUAGACACAAAGACACAUGCCCCCCCACACACAUACAGAGGCCCCCCCACACACACCUACAUACGCCUCAUACACAUAGACACAAAGACACAUGCCCCCCCACACACAUACAGAGGCCCCCCCACACACACCUACAUAUGCCUCAUACACAUAGACACAAAGACACAUGUCCCACACACACCUACAUACGCCUCAUACACAUAGACACAAAGACACAUGCCCCCCCACACACACCUACAUACGCCUCAUACACAUAGACACAAAGACACAUGCCCCCCCACACACACCUACAUAUGCCUCAUACACAUAGACACAAAGACACAUGCCCCCCCACACACACCUACAUACGCCUCAUACACAUAGACACAAAGACACAUGCCCCCCCACACACACAGAGGCCCCCCACACACACCUACAUACGCCUCAUACACAUAGACACAAAGACGCAUGCCCCACACACACACCUACAUACGCCUCAUACACAUAGACACAAAGACGCAUGCCCCCCACACACCUACAUAUGUCUCAUACACAUAGACACAAAGACACAUGCCCCCCACACACACCUACAUAUGUCUCAUACACAUAAACACAAAGACACAUGCCCACACAUACACACCUACAUAUGUCUCAUACACAUAGACACAAAGAUGCAUGCCCCCCACACACACCUACAUACACCUCAUACACAUAGACACAAAGACACAUGCCUCCCCACACCCACAGAGGCCCCCACACCUACAUACACCUCACCACAUAUGCCUCAUACACAUAGACACAAAGACACAUGCCACCCCCCACACAGAGGCCCCCAUACCUACAUACACCUCAUACACAUAUACACAAAGACACAUGCCCCCCCCCACACACACACAGACACUCACUAAUUAGCCCAAGAACGCCCAGGCUGUCCGUACAGAGAAGGUGCAGGCCUUUUGCCUGUGAGCUUUGGCUUUCCGGAUACCAACUACUAUCCAUGCUACCCUGGAAGAUGAAGGGACACAAUGAGCUCCCCAUGAAUAUAGAAGAAGGGGGAGCCCUCCCUCUCCUACUCCACUCUUCUGCCCCUCACUUGAGACGCCCAGCAAAGUCUAAGAUCUUGGAUCUCUUCCAUCAUCGGCUGAGGAUGAAAGGGAUACAUAGAAAUGAUAGGGAAUGGCAACAUGUCCCUGUGACCUCGGCCACUGCUAUCACAGGCCUCCCCUGAACCCCACUCAUUAUCCCGCUGAUCCUUCUGAAUGCUCUUUGUUUACUUUUAGUCUCGAUGUCACCCAGAGGUAUCAGAUCACAGCAAAGCCUGGGAGAAAAUGCUGGACUUGCUCAGCCAGGUUUGCCCUUUCUGCUUUCAAAUUGCUUGUACAUUCACUGCAUUUUUGCCUUUGGUUAUUCUGUCAGAUUCGGCAGGGAACCAUCAGUAUACCUCACAGUUUUUACCAUCACUCAUACUGUUAAAAUGUUGAACAAUUCCUCCCUGGCCUAACUAAACCCAGAGAGUGCCCAGGCUUACAUUCAUGUUCUCUUCUCUACUUCAUCGGGUCUCCGUGUGGUCUACAACUGUAGACAUCCUUGGGUGGAAUUUGUAGUCACGUGACUGCACAAUGCAAAGGAAGGGGCACAAGUGGCUCUUCCCAUUUACAGAGUCUGCCUGGGUGUGCGGUUGCAUAUCCGCGCCUUCCAUAUUUGGCUAUUACUGAAGAGUGUAUAUUUUACAAGUGCUUUUUUUUGCACUGAUAUAAAUAAUACUUUGUAUACUGUCAGAGAUCCACUUAAAACUUUUUAGCUAUUAAAAUAGCACAUGUGUUCUUGCAUCCCCUUGAGGUGCUUCUAGAAGGUUUUAGUUGUUUAUCCAAAGGUCAAAUAAGCUCCGGAACAAAGUGGAACCGAUCAAACUCACUUCUUGUAACACUUGCUUUUUACCUUUUUCAGGCCUGAAGAGAGAAGCAAACUCUCCGACUCGCAGUUGGUAAACAGAGCUGAGUCCUUAAAGCCAG
rnacentral:lncRNA from 1 species